AGCUAUAUAAUUUAAAUAUAAAAUAUAUAAUUGCAGAUUAUAUUAUCUCAGCUAAAAUCUGAGUGUAGCUU